rnacentral:rRNA from 1 species
UACGAAGGGGGCUAGCGUUGCUCGGAAUGACUGGGCGUAAAGGGUGCGUAAGCGGGUCUUUAAGUCAGGGGUGAAAUCCUGGAGCUCAACUCCAGAACUGCCUUUGAUACUGAAGAUCUUGAGUUCGGGAGAGGUGAGUGGAACUGCGAGUGUAGAGGUGAAAUUCGUAGAUAUUCGCAAGAACACCAGUGGCGAAGGCGGCUCACUGGCCCGAUACUGACGCUGAGGCACGAAAGCGUGGGGAGCAAACAGG